rnacentral:rRNA from 1 species
CAGCCGUAAACAAUGUGCGUUAGGUGUGUCGGUAACCACGUGUUACUGAUGCGCCGAAGAGAAAUCGUGAAACGCACCACCUGGGAAGUACGGUCGCAAGGCUGAAACUUAAAGGAAUUGGCGGGGGAGCACCACAACAGGUGGAGCCUGCGGUUUAAUUGGAUUCAACGCCGGACAUCUCACCGGAUAAGACAGCUGAAUGAUUGUCAAUCUGAAGGUUUUACAUGACUAGCUGAGAGGUGGUGCAUGGCGUCAGUG